UGGGGAAUAUUGCACAAUGGGCGAAAGCCUGAUGCAGCGACGCCGCGUGCGGGAUGAAGGCCUUCGGGUUGUAAACCGCUUUUAAUUGGGAGCAAGCGAGAGUGAGUGUACCUUUUGAAUAAGCACCGGCUAACUACGUGCCAGCAGCCGCGGUAAUACGUAGGGUGCAAGCGUUAUCCGGAAUUAUUGGGCGUAAAGAGCUCGUAGGCGGUUUGUCACGCCUGGUGUGAAAGUCCAUCGCUUAACGGUGGAUCUGCGCCGGGUACGGGCAGGCUAGAGUGCAGUAGGGGAGAUUGGAAUUCCCGGUGUAACGGUGGAAUGUGUAGAUAUCGGGAAGAACACCAAUGGCGAAGGCAGAUCUCUGGGCUGUUACUGACGCUGAGGAGCGAAAGCAUGGGGAGCGAACAGGAUUAGAUACCCUGGUAGUCCAUGCCGUAAAACGGUGGAUGCUGGAUGUGGGACCCUUCCACGGGUUCCGUGUCGGAGCUAACGCGUUAAGCAUCCCGCCUGGGGAGUACGGCCGCAAGGCUAAAAC
rnacentral:rRNA from 1 species